CGGCCGGCCGCGCGCUCCCUCAGCCUCGGCUGUGCACCAGCUCCGGCCGGGCCUCCGGGCGCUGCCAGCGCGGGCGCUUGGUGUGCACGCCUGCAGUGAGUGCUCCUUCGUGGGGGAGAGGAUCAGCAGUGUUUAUUUCAGUAGAUCAGAUUGCCGCCCGUGUUUCAGCGGUGCUUUUUUGCGUUCAUUUGUGUUGGUCAAAGCCUUGAUUCUUCUGCUUGCAGCAGGGUUGUUUUUAAAUCAGACUACAGGGCUUGUCAGAGCACUCUAUGGGGAUUGCAAAAUUCUCUGCCUUGUUGCAGGAGACAGUUUGUCCUGACUGAAUUCCCAAUGACGUGAAAAGACUGACCAAGUCCAGGCAUUUGAACCAAUUAUUAACUUCAAAUGAUGAGUGCUCAGCUACCUGACAGAUUCCAGUUUGGAAAAAUCCAUCUUUCCAGGAGUGAUGGAGCAGAUGUGUCUACUUUAGCAAUGGGCAGCCUAGAAGAUGGACAUUUGACAGGCGACAAUAGACUGCUCCUUUCCCAGAUUACACAAACCUAACAAUUCUCCUUGUGAUGUCUCUUAAGGAUUCUAUGGAAGAAGGCUUCUGACAGUUCCUCUGGUAAUGACUGUUACUUCCCUAUAUAUGACAAGAGUUUUAUGUGUGUGUAAUUCUCCUUGAUUAUUCUAAAAAAAUAAAUGUGUCUAGGAUAAUUUUGUAUAUCACCUACUAUGAAAAUUGCUUUUGUGGCAAGCAAAAUCAACUGCUCCAUGACCUACACUUCUUGAUAUUAAAGGUUAUAUGAAACUUA